CAGACGGCGGAGAGCAGAGAGGGAGCGCGCCUUGGCUCGCUGGCCUUGGCGGCGGCUCCUCAGGAGAGCUGGGGCGCCCACGAGAGGAUCCCUCACCCGGGUCUCUCCUCAGGGAUGACAUCAUCCGUCCACCUCCUUGUCUUCAAGGACCACCUCCUCUCCAUGCUGAGCUGCUGCCAAGGGGCCUGCUGCCCAUCUACACCUCACGAGGGCACUAGGAGCACGGUUUCCUGGAUCCCACCAACAUACAAAGCAGCCACUCACUGACCCCCAGGACCAGGAUGGCAAAGGAUGAAGAGGACCGGAACUGACCAGCCAGCUGUCCCUCUUACCUAAAGACUUAAACCAAUGCCCUAGUGAGGGGGCAUUGGGCAUUAAGCCCUGACCUUUGCUAUGCUCAUACUUUGACUCUAUGAGUACUUUCCUAUAAGUCUUUGCUUGUGUUCACCUGCUAGCAAACUGGAGUGUUUCCCUCCCCAAGGGGGUGUCAGUCUUUGUCGACUGACUCUGUCAUCACCCUUAUGAUGUCCUGAAUGGAAGGAUCCCUUUGGGAAAUUCUCAGGAGGGGGACCUGGGCCAAGGGCUUGGCCAGCAUCCUGCUGGCAACUCCAAGGCCCUGGGUGGGCUUCUGGAAUGAGCAUGCUACUGAAUCACCAAAGGCACGCCCGACCUCUCUGAAGAUCUUCCUAUCCUUUUCUGGGGGAAUGGGGUCGAUGAGAGCAACCUCCUAGGGUUGUUGUGAGAAUUAAAUGAGAUAAAAGAGGCCUCAGGCAGGAUCUGGCAUAGAGGAGGUGAUCAGCAAAUGUUUGUUGAAAAGGUUUGACAGGUCAGUCCCUUCCCACCCCUCUUGCUUGUCUUACUUGUCUUAUUUAUUCUCCAACAGCACUCCAGGCAGCCCUUGUCCACGGGCUCUCCUUGCAUCAGGUAGGGGCUUUGCAGAGACCAUCGACGGGCUGACUUGAGUAAGAACACGAAUUAUGCAUGUGGCCAUUUCCAGAGCACUUUCUAUGUGAUAUGAACAUGUGAUUUUUAUGUAAUAUGUGUAUGUAAACGAGGCAGCCUCAUUUCCAGGUGAGGAUGCAUUUGGUAGUGUUGAUUUUUGUAAUUUAAAGAAGCUGAAAGGGAGAGAGGACCCGUGAGGACUGAACUCUCUGUCCCAUGGGGUAGGGCUUACAUUUACAUUAAAGAAACAGAAACUUGCUGGGAGGUGUAAGUAUUUGGUCACAUUGCUGGCAACAGAAGGGGUUGGAGUUGGACCCAGGGUGCCACGCUAGCUGCCCUCACCCCUUCUUCCCCUCUGGCCCAGAGUUAUACUAAGAGUCCUUUUAUUUCAAACCAAAUGUUUGACAAUGGGACAGUCUGUUUGAAAUCCCAGCUGCCUGGGGUGGUCUUGGGGGUCUGGGUGGCCCCAGUGCUGGUACCAUGUGCUGGCUUCACCUUUUAAUAACAGUGUGACCUUAAACAAGUCGCUUAACUACUCUAAGUUUCAGUUUCUUUCAUGGUCUAAAUGGAGAUUAAAACACACACACACACACACACACACACACACACACACACACCCCCUCGUGUAUCUACCCCACAGGGCGCUUUUGAAGACCAAAUGCUGUAACUACUAUGAAAGUGCUUUGUAAAUUGCUGUGGAAAGUGUGAGCUACUCAAGCACCCGAGGCUGUCCCUCCUUGCUCACAUGUCCAGCCCAAUUCUCCCUUAGUGAGAACAGCACUCAGUAGGUGCUGUGUGUGUUUGUGUUCAAUUAAGAAAUUCCAGAAUAAAUAAAAAUGAAUUAAUUCAACAAACAUUUUCUGGGGCACCGACAAUCUGCCCAGUGCACCAGGCUAGGUAUCUGAUACAAAGAUAAUGAAAACAGUCUCUUGGAACCUAAUUGGGGUCCUCAUUUGACCAGGAAUUUCUUUCGUCCCGUUUUAAGCCAACCAGUUUUGUCCGGACAAGACAAAAACAACUUGGGCUGCUUUAGAGAAGCCCAGCUCAGUGUAGACAAUAGCUGCCCAGCCUCUGAAAGGGGCUGAUUGGAUUAUGUGGCAAAUGGAGGUGCAAGGAUGACUUGGACGGUGACAAAUGAAGUGGGCGGAGACCUGCUUUGAGUUAAUCCAGGCUAUUAGGAGGGGACCUUUUGUCUUCCAGAGACUGGCAGGAGCUUUUACCAGUGGUUUUUACAUCCUUAAUGUUCAGGACGAAUAAUUUAUGGUCAGUGAAAAUCCAGGCCCCAGUGAGAUUCGAGUGGGCUGUAAAAUCGAGAGUCCUGCUCCCAGUGAGUAAUGGUAGUGAAUGUUUCUGUCACUUUUUGCAACCGUCCAUUCAUUUGAUCCUCACAACUCCCUGUCCUGAGCCAGGACCGGCCACUGCCACUCCCAGGGAAACAGAGGCUGUCAAGAGGCUCCACAGAUUGGGCCCCACUGGAUCAUUGAACCCCUGUUCCCUGAGUUCUAGAGGAAGAAUUGUACCUGUCUCAGUCCCGGCCACCUCCAGAAGGCCUCCCUCUGCAUUUCUGACUUUGCUGUGCCGGCAGCCUGGAGCCUCCCAGGUCCCUGCUGUCAUCUUUUCUAGCCACUACAGUCUCUGUCUUUCCUUUCACAGCCAAGCUUCUUGAAAGGCCUGUCUACACUUGCUGUCUUCCUUCCUCACCUCCAAUUUCCUCUUCAACCCACUGCUUCCUGACUCGCUCUACUCCGUGGAAGCACGCUCACAAAGGUUCCCAGUGCCCCCGACAAGCCCCUGCUGGUGUCUCCAUCUCCUGCCAAGCAUCCUCCAGUGCCUCCUCCUGUGGGCCUGGCCUCAGGGCUAUGGACAGACUCCUGUCCCAUCCCAGAGACCCCUCGUGAUCGUGCCCUGGCACGUGGGCCGUGGCCCGGCUGGGUCGGCUGAAGAACUGCGGAUGGAAGCUGCGGAAGAGGCCCUGAUGGGGCCCACCAUCCCGGACCCAAGUCUUCUUCCUGGCGGGCCUCUCGUCUCCUUCCUGGUUUGGGCGGAAGCCAUCACCUGGAUGCCUACGUGGGAAGGGACCUCGAAUGUGGGACCCCAGCCCCUCUCCAGCUCGAAAUCGGCAGACUAGGAUGGAAGUGCCCUGUGAGCUGGGGGGCCCUUCAAAGGGCCAAGGAGAAAACGCAGGCCGAGGGACCAGCCUUCCAAAUGGGCUUCAAGCUCCAAUGACCUCCGCUCGCCCCCUCGAAAUGUCUGGAAAACAUAAUGGGCAGAUUUUCUGUCUUCAAAGUUUCCGGCUAAACCUCUUCAAGUUCUUUAUUGUUUGGGACUGAGACACUCAGCCAUGUUAAUGGGUAGUUUCUUUUGUAUUUGCCUUGAAAGGCCAAAAUAUUUUUAUAUUGCCACAGACAAAGCCACCUAUUUAAAAAUGAACUCCAUGUCCGUCGUUUCCCACCAGGAGACUAUGUACCAUGUGUGUGUCUCUAUGUAUUCUGGGGUCUUGAAACAGGUUUCUCAUGGGGAUGGUCAUUCACCACGGUCCAGAGGGGCAGAACAGGCGGCGCUUGCCUUGCCCAGGGGGCCUGGGGAACGUGGGCCCUCAUCUCAGAUCUGCCCCCAGUAUGUUUAGGACGCGAGCCCCAGAAGGAUCUGGGAGUAAACUUAACAUUCACUGUGUCUCUGCUCUGCAUCCGCCAUUUGUGUGUGUUUCUGGACUGUGGGCUGUGUGUACCUUGGUUGGUGACUCAGUGAGAAGAAGCAGGAAUGCCAAAGAUACUGUGAAUGUUCUGAGUUUUGUUGCUGUUGUUGUUGAGAGGUUGUUUCACUGGUAUCUAUUGCAUUGUAUAAUAAAUGACCAGAUGAAUGAAUGAGUGAAGCAAGAGAGAAUGAAUAAACAAGUAAAUAGGUAAAGAAGUAAGCAAGCCAGGAUGAGAGUGUGUGUACACAAGACCAUGGUUCAUCCGCUUUGAUGGCUAGGCAAUCAAUAUAUAAAUAGAAAAAAACCAGUGAAUCACUAAGUAAUAGGGCAACACACAAAGCGAUAUCAGGUGAUUAUGGACUAAGGGGUAUGUGUAACUCAAAUAUAUGCCUCUGACAUUUGACAAUGAAAAAGAACCUAAAUGAAAGAAAGAAUGGAUGUAUGAGUAGUGAAGUGCAGAAUGAGACAUAGAUUUUGAGGCCCGUCAAAAUGAAAAGAUGCAAGUUAGGGAACAAGUGAUCAAAAGGGAGAAGGGAAAGGUUUUUUUUAAAAAACCAAAACAACAAAGAAAGGUUAAAAAAAAAAACAGACUAGAGGAUGAGUAAUGAGUAACUCUGUAAGGAGGACCAUGUCAGACUAUUGUAAGCUAAGCAUUAGGACUGAUACAAAUAAUAUAUGCUCCUGGCAUAGAAAAAUAAACCACAGAGAACGAGUUCAAAGAAUAGCAAAGAAAGAAAGAGGACCCAGUGGGCGAAAGAUGAGAGUGUACUUUUACCAAAAGUUAUCUAAGCCUGAGCACUUGAAGUCUGCACAUAAAUAAAUAAAUGACAAAAGAAAGAAAAAAA
rnacentral:lncRNA from 1 species